GAUGAACGCUGGCGGCGUGCCUAAUACAUGCAAGUCGAGCGAACAGACGAGGAGCUUGCUCCUCUGACGUUAGCGGCGGACGGGUGAGUAACACGUGGAUAACCUACCUAUAAGACUGGGAUAACUUCGGGAAACCGGAGCUAAUACCGGAUAAUAUAUUGAACCGCAUGGUUCAAUAGUUAAAGACGGUUUUGCUGUCACUUAUAGAUGGAUCCGCGCCGCAUUAGCUAGUUGGUAAGGUAACGGCUUACCAAGGCGACGAUGCGUAGCCGACCUGAGAGGGUGAUCGGCCACACUGGAACUGAGACACGGUCCAGACUCCUACGGGAGGCAGCAGUAGGGAAUCUUCCGCAAUGGGCGAAAGCCUGACGGAGCAACGCCGCGUGAGUGAUGAAGGUCUUCGGAUUGUAAAACUCUGUUAUUAGGGAAGAACAAAUGUGUAAGUAACUAUGCACGUCUUGACGGUACCUAAUCAGAAAGCAACGGCUAACUACGUG
rnacentral:rRNA from 1 species